CGUAAUAUGUGUAGCUUCGCAAUCAAUGCAGUGUUAUUUUCUUUGUUUAUUCGGAUACUGCCAUAUUGUACUCUACAAGCGUAUUAGACUCAGACUUCAUCUGUGUAGACGUUUUCCAUGCGAACUCGCGUAUCUAGAAAUGGCUAUUUGACUGUUACCUAACGAGGUAUUCAGCUCAAGCCACCGGCAAGUAGCAAAUAGUCGCCUCGCCAUAGGCUCAACUUGGCUCGUCUAUGACCUUUACCUAAUCAGCCUCCGUUGCAAACCACCACCGUUGCUUUUUCCCAGAGGAGCAUUGGAAAAGAAAAUGUUUUGCCUCCUAUCGAAAGCGAUUAUUAUCUGGCGAAUUCGGGCUUAGGGUUUUGUUUCGCGCAGCAAAAGCUGUUUACGUGUGCUAUUCACAAGUGGGACGGCUGUUUUGGGAGAGGUAACCUAACAGAGGGGGCUGAACGUCGCCUCUUUAGUUCUUUCUCCUCUCAUAGUCAGGGAACUUUCACAUCACAUCAGAUGAUUGGGUUUGAAAAUUUUCUUUUUGCCAAAUGACCCUUUGGAGAUUAUCGCGGUGAAUCCUUUGAUUGUGUAGCGCUGGUGCACCAGUCGUGGCCUGUUGAUCUGCUUCCUAUCAUGCCUUGGUUUCAUCAACAGCCCCUACGUGGUCUACAUUUAGUGCAAGUCUUCGAAGUGGUCACCAAGUAGCGAGACGUUCCUGUGUUGAAAUGGCAACCAAGCUACCACGACGCGUCGGGGUCGUGGGUCUUUUCAUUGGAUGGACUGUGUACUGGAUAGCAUAGUCCUUAGCACAAAAUGCUAAUUUACCUCCGUGAGCUCGUUGUUACUCUCGAUAUUUGCGAUAAGGCUGUUUCGCCGGAAGCAUGGAACAAAGGAGAUUCAUGCCGGCUACAAGAACUGAAUUGUGACAUGCUGUAGCGUUCGAUUAGGCUGAGCGAAAAAAUUGUAAAAGGCUCAAAGAAAAGUCAAUUAGAACACCAAUACUUUGGGUGAAGAAAGGACCAGAUAUGUUCUACGCUACAAGCUUCCUCAGGGGCAUUUGUAUACAUCUUCCUCUUACCCACUUGAGUCAUUCUCGGAAACGAAUAUUGUCAUCGUAGUUCGUCUGGAAAAUUGUUUCAGAAGUUCAGAAAUGUCGGCACAUGCAUAGAUUGUUACCGUAGCAUGUCAACGAUAUGUGCAUCGAGCGUAAAUAAAGUGAGCGUACUGAA